rnacentral:lncRNA from 1 species
GGAAGGUUGAGCUGCUGUUUAUCUGUUCCUAGAGAUGCUAGAAUUCUGGAGAAUUUUAUCUUUGAAAAUCUUUAAAAUGUUGCGUGAUGAGUUCCUGUAUGAUGAGAGUUUAAAUUCCUACCUCAGCCAUAUAUACAUGCUUGCUAGACUUUGAGCCACACAUUUAUUAUUUACUGCUUAUGAGCAUUGAGUGUAGUCAAGCUGUGUUGACCCUUAGGAGCUUGUCAUGUGGUUAAAUCAAGAUUUCACUUGCAUGUUCACUCAUAUAUGCUACUUCUACUCCGGAAGUACCAUCCACAUAUAUCCACCCAUUCCAUCUCCAGAAUCACCCAAAAAUAUUCUGCUCCUAAUCCGGGAGAGAAUAACCAAAAAUAUUUCUGUUUUCCCCUUGUGAAAUAAAUGCUCAAGUUAUCUUGUUACUACCACUUGCUAUAUUAUCUCAAGAGAUGAAUGCUCUAAGAAAAAAGAGAUACGAGGAAAUAAAAAGGAGCAAGUGCUCGGAACCUCGAAAGAAAAGAAAGAGUGAGACGAGAGGUAAAAAUGGACAAGUGUCUGACAGUAGAAUUAGGGGUGCAAGAUACCCACCUGAGAGAAAAGAAAAAGAAGAGCAUCUCAUUCUCCUCAUAAAGUUUCAAAGGCAAGGAAGGUAUGUAUCCCCUCAAAAGAGCAAAGUAGAAUUAGACUUCCACCACCAUUGUUAUCACCAGCAUCACCAUACACCAUUCAUUCGCCAC